rnacentral:rRNA from 1 species
AACGAACGCUGGCGGCAUGCCUAACACAUGCAAGUCGAACGAACCCUUCGGGGUGAGUGGCGCACGGGUGCGUAACACGUGGGAACCUGCCCUUAGGUUCGGAAUAACAGUUAGAAGUGACUGCUAAUACCGGAUGUUGUCUUCGGACCAAAGGUUUAUCGCCUUUGGAUGGGCCCGCGUAGGAUUAGGUAGUUGGUGAGGUAAAGGCGCACCAAGGCGACGGUCCUUAGGUGGUCUGAGAGGAUGAUCAGCCACACGGGGACUGAGACGCGGCCCAGACUCCUACGGGAGGCAGCAGUGGGGAAUAUUGGACAAUGGGCGAAAGCCUGAUCCAGCAAUGCCGCGUGAGUGAUGAAGGCCUUAGGGUUGUAAAGCUCUUUUACCUGGGAUGAUAAUGACAGUACCAGGAGAAUAAGCCCCGGCUAACUCCGUGCCAGCCGCCGCCGUAAGAC